rnacentral:rRNA from 1 species
UACAGAGGGUGCGAGCGUUAAUCGGAAUUACUGGGCGUAAAGCGUGCGUAGACGGCUAUCUAAGUCGGGUGUGAAAGCCCCCGGGCUCAACCUGGGAAUUGCAUUCGAGACUGAAUAGCUAGGGUACGGUAGGAGGGGAAGCGGAAUUUCCGGUGUAGCGGGUGAAAAUGCGUAGAUAUCGGAAGGAACACAGUGGCGAAAGCGGCUUCCU